UACGGGGGGAGCAAGCGUUGUUCGGAUUUACUGGGCGUAAAGGGCGCGUAGGCGGUCAGCACAAGUCAGUUGUGAAAUCUCCGGGCUUAACUCGGAAAGGUCAACUGAUACUGUGCGACUAGAGUGCGGAAGGGGCAACUGGAAUUCUCGGUGUAGCGGUGAAAUGCGUAGAUAUCGAGAGGAACACCUGCGGCGAAGGCGGUUCUCUGGGCCUGUACUGACGCUGAGGAACGAAAGCGUGGGGAGCGAACAGG
rnacentral:rRNA from 1 species